rnacentral:rRNA from 1 species
GAUGAACGCUGGCGGCGUGCCUAAUACAUGCAAGUCGAGCGAACAGACGAGGAGCUUGCUCCUCUGACGUUAGCGGCGGACGGGUGAGUAACACGUGGAUAACCUACCUAUAAGACUGGGAUAACUUCGGGAAACCGGAGCUAAUACCGGAUAACAUGUUGAACCGCAUGGUUCAACAGUGAAAGACGGUUUUGCUGUCACUUAUAGAUGGAUCCGCGUCGCAUUAGCUAGUUGGUAAGGUAACGGCUUACCAAGGCAACGAUGCGUAGCCGACCUGAGAGGGUGAUCGGCCACACUGGAACUGAGACACGGUCCAGACUCCUACGGGAGGCAGCAGUAGGGAAUCUUCCGCAAUGGGCGAAAGCCUGACGGAGCAACACCGCGUGAGUGAAGAAGGUCUUCGGAUCGUAAAACUCUGUUAUUAGGGAAGAACAAAUGUGUAAGUAACUAUGCACGUCUUGACGGUACCUAAUCAGAAAGCCACGGCUAACUACGUG